rnacentral:misc_RNA from 1 species
GAUGAAGAACGUAGCGAAAUGCGACAAGUAAUGUGAAUUGCAGAAUUCCGUGAAUCAUCGAAUCUUUGAACGCGCAUUGCGCCCUCUGGUAUUCCGGGGGGCAUGCCUGUCCGAGCGUCAUUGCUGCCCUCAAGCACGGCUUGUGUGUUGGGCCCCGCCCCCCGGCUCCCGGGGGGCGGGCCCGAAAGGCAGCGGCGGCACCGCGUCCGGUCCUCGAGCGUAUGGGGCUUCGUCACCCGCUCCGUAGGCCCGGCCGGCGCCCGCCGGCGACCCCCCUCAAUCUUUUCAGGUUGACCUCGGAUCAGGUAGGGAUACCCGCUGAACUUAAGCAUAUCAAUAAGCGGAGGA